GACGAACGCUGGCGGCGUGCCUAAUACAUGCAAGUAGAACGCUGAAGGAGGAGCUUGCUUCUCUGGAUGAGUUGCGAACGGGUGAGUACGCGUAGGUAACCUGCCUGGUAGCGGGGGAUAACUAUUGGAAACGAUAGCUAAUACCGCAUAAGAGUAGAUGUUGCAUGACAUUUGCUUAAAAGGUGCAAUUGCAUCACUACCAGAUGGACCUGCGUUGUAUUAGCUAGUUGGUGAGGUAACGGCUCACCAAGGCGACGAUACAUAGCCGACCUGAGAGGGUGAUCGGCCACACUGGGACUGAGACACGGCCCAGACUCCUACGGGAGGCAGCAGUAGGGAAUCUUCGGCAAUGGACGGAAGUCUGACCGAGCAACGCCGCGUGAGUGAAGAAGGGUUUCGGAUCGUAAAGCUCUGUUGUAAGAGAAGAACGAGUGUGAGAGUGGAAAGUUCACACUGUGACGGUAUCUUACCAGAAAGGGACGGCUAACUACGUG
rnacentral:rRNA from 1 species